GGCAUGGGGGCACAAUGGAUAGCACUGCUGCCUCUUAGCCAGAAAGUUGUGGGUUUGAAUCCCACCUGGGGCA